rnacentral:lncRNA from 1 species
CAAGCUAGAAUAGUCCCUUAUAAAUAGACUUGAGUUCACUGUGAAUCAACAGACAACUAUCAGAAGAGAAAUACACAAAAAGUGAGAGAAAAAAAAAGCAGAAAAUAGCAAUAAAGAAUUUUUGGAAAUUUUGGAGUUGUGAGAGUUUGGUUUAGUCUAGUCAGUGUUGUUGGAGGAAUUCAGCAGCCCGGAAAUUUUGAAUUAGUGUUUUAUUGACAAUUUUUUUGGAAACUUUUGAAAAGUUUUUGAAAUUUCAAAUUUUACGAUUGAAUUUUCAAAUGAGAUUCCGACAAAAUCUCUAGUUUUCAAUAAGGAUUUCUAAUUUCUACCGACGUUUCGGCAAAAAUCCAGAUCUCAAUAAAUUCUCACAACAGAAGUAUUUUUUAGUAAGAAUUUACUGAAUUUGACCACCAGCGUUCAUCCUUUUAGAGAGAGAGACAAAGUAAAUUAAGGGAAGAAAGAGACGUGAAGAGAAAUUUUGAAAAAAAGAGAAGGUUUGUUAUAUCAUUAAAAUAACGACGCUGUUUUGAAACUAAAAAAGCUAAAGUUCACGUGUUUUUCCAUUUAGCCGAUCUAACCUGUGUCGUUCAACUCGACUUGAAACCCGUUUCAGUUGCUAUUGCCCAAGUCUAGCCGAGUUGUGAUCUAAGCCACAUCAGCGGAUUUGUGUUCCUGCAAUCAUGCUGUUUCCAAGCCGAGCUGAGUCCA